CGAUCAUCUCUUUACCGCCCCUACGCGUAUGCCAUUGCCAUUCUCUCUCUCUACGCCUCUGUAUCGCAACCCAUUAAACAUGGCGUCCGGGUCGUCUUCUCUCAUGUGGUUUCGGAAGGGCCUUCGGAUCCACGACAACCCGGCUCUGGAGUAUGCUUCCAAAGGGUCCAAUUUUCUUUACCCAGUCUUUGUAAUUGACCCGCAUUACAUGGAGCCUGAUCCCAAAGCUUUCUCUCCUGGUUCGACCCGUGCGGGCAUAAACCGUAUCAGGUUCUUGUUGGAGAGUCUAGUGGAUCUCGAUUUGAGCCUCAAAAAGCUUGGCUCGAGGUUGCUGGUCUUCAAGGGAGAGCCUAGUCAGGUUUUGAUUCGGUGCUUGAAGGAAUGGGAUGUGAAAAAACUUUGCUUUGAAUAUGAUACAGAUCCAUAUUACCAAGCUUUAGAUAUUAAAGUGAAGGAUUAUGCCUCUUCAGCUGGAAUUGAAGUUUUCUCUCCAGUGAGUCAUACCC
rnacentral:misc_RNA from 1 species